rnacentral:lncRNA from 1 species
UGCAGAAACCCGGACUUUAAGAAAUGGCAAAUUGGCAAGCAAGGCUGGAAAAAUUAAAGAAACCAAAGCAAUUUACCUGGGAAGAUUUUGUAAGGCAGUUUCACUUUGCUGAGAAGAUCGAAGAGUUCUCAGAUCACAAAAGCAGCUUCAUUGCUGUGGAGACAAUAUAAAGACUCAAAGAAAAUGGUGUCAAAGCUUCGAGUGAAAAUAAAAAGAGGAAAUUCUAAUGGAAAC